AACAAACGCUGGCGGCGUGCGUAAUACAUGCAAGUCGAACGGGGAAAGCUUUCGGGUGAGUACUAGUGGCGCACGGGUGAGUAACGCGUGGAUAAUCUGCCUUAGAGUGGGGGAUAACUAGUCGAAAGAUUAGCUAAUACCGCAUAAGACCACAAGAACUGCGGUUCAAGGGGUCAAAGGUUUUUCGCUCUGAAGAUGAGUCCGCGUAAGAUUAGCUAGUUGGUGAGGUAAUGGCUCACAAAGGCGACGAUCUUUAACUGGCUCGAGAGGAUGAUCAGGCACACUGGAACUGAGACACGGUCCAGACUCCUACGGGAGGCAGCAGUAGGGAAUACUGCACAAUGGAGGAAACGCUGAUGCAGCGACGCCGCGUGAGUGAUGAAGGCCUUCGGGUCGUAAAGCUCUGUCGCAAGGGAAUAACACAAUGAAUGUACCUUGCAAGAAAGGAUCGGCUAACUUCGUGCCAGCAGCCGCGGUAACAC
rnacentral:rRNA from 1 species